AUGGCUCAGAACGAACGCUGGCUCCGUGCUUAAACAUGCAAGUCGAGCGAGAACCAGGGCUUCGGCCCUGGGGACAGCCGCGAACGGGUGAGUAACACGUGAGUAAUCUGCCCUCGGCACCGGGAUAGCCCGGGGAAACCCGGAUUAAUACCGGAUAGCCUCCGAAGCCUUCGGGCGUCGGAGCAAAGGUAGCUUCGGCCUCUGGCCGAGGAUGAGCUCGCGGCGGAUUAGCUUGUUGGUGGGGUAAUGGCCUACCAAGGCGACGAUCCGUAGCUGGUCUGAGAGGACGAUCAGCCACACUGGGACUGAGACACGGUCCGGACUCCUACGGGAGGCAGCAGUGGG
rnacentral:rRNA from 1 species